AGGACGAACGCUGGCGGCGUGCCUAACACAUGCAAGUCGAACGGAGUUCCUUCGGGGACUUAGUGGCGAACGGGUGAGUAACGCGUGAAGAACCUGCCUUUCAGUGGGGGACAACAGUUGGAAACGACUGCUAAUACCGCAUAAUGUUAUUUGAGGGCAUCCUCGGAUAACCAAAGAUUUAUUGCUGAAAGAUGGCUUCGCGUCUGAUUAGAUAGUUGGUGGGGUAACGGCCUACCAAGUCGACGAUCAGUAGCCGGACUGAGAGGUUGAACGGCCACAUUGGGACUGAGACACGGCCCAGACUCCUACGGGAGGCAGCAGUGGGGAAUAUUGGGCAAUGGGGGAAACCCUGACCCAGCAACGCCGCGUGAAGGAAGAAGGCCUUCGGGUUGUAAACUUCUUUUACCAGGGACGAAGAACGUGACGGUACCUGGAGAAAAAGCAACGGCUAACUACGUG
rnacentral:rRNA from 1 species